GGCUAGAAGAAUUAUAUUUGAGCCAUAAUGGUAUUGCUAAGAUGGAAGGCUUAUCUACUCUUGAAAAUCUUCGUGUCCUUGAUGUCUCUUCGAACAAACUAACUGCAAUUAAUGGCAUUGAGAAGCUGACAAGGUUGGAAGACUUGUGGCUUAAUGAUAACCAAAUAACAUCCUUGGAAGGCAUUGAUGUUGCUGUAGCUGGUUCAAA